UAUACGUCACCUCUUCCGGACAGGUGCAUGCGUCUGAGUCCAGCUUGUCGCCUCACUCGGUUAGUGACAGAUGAAGAACUCACCAAACUUGACGAGGAUUUCAAACGUGCCCAACUAAGUUGGUCAUCGAGAGGAUGAGAAAAAAAAAGUGAGCUACAUGACUCAGGGGAAAUUUCAUCAUCAAGCUAACUGCUCUGACCAAAGGACUGACCAUGACCCUACAAUCACUAGGAAAACCCGUGGGGGGUCCGUCUACACAUCUCGUGGUGUUGGACUGUGGUGGUGAGAGUUUGUGUAUGCUAAGAGUCUUUUGGUGCACUUUUCAUCUGCUUUUAACACCAUGCAAGCUAAAAUUCUUGCAGACAUUUAAGCCAGUUAAUUAUUGGAUCAUGGAGUUUCUUAUUAAGAGAGUCCAGCGAGUCAGAAUGGGCUCUUUAUACACAUUCAUACACUAGGACUGUACAAAACAGGCACUUUUAUUGAAAAACUAUGCUCUAGUGAGCCUGCUACAGAAUAGGGAGGUAGAUCCUGGGUCUGUUUUAUUGCCACUCCGUUUUAGAAUGGAGCACUAAGUCUCUUAAUGUUAAACACCAAUAAGAACCAAGAACUGUCCAUCGAUUUUAGAAAGUCAAAACAAUCCCCUGACACUAUGAUCACAAUAUUCAGGUUGUUACAAACUACAAAUACCUUGGCAUCGUACUGGUCAUCAAGCUUCAAUGGGACUCAUGGACAGAUCUUUUGCAUACAAAAACACAGGCAUUUUUUAUUUUUUUUAACUGCUUGUUUUUAAUGUCAAUAAAAUUCUCCAAAUGUUG